rnacentral:rRNA from 1 species
UACGUAGGGGGCAAGCGUUGUCCGGAUUUAUUGGGCGUAAAGAGCGUGUAGGCGGCUAGGUAGGUCCGUUGUGAAAACUCGAGGCUCAACCUCGAGACGUCGAUGGAAACCAUCUAGCUAGAGUCCGGAAGAGGAGAGUGGAAUUCCUGGUGUAGCGGUGAAAUGCGCAGAUAUCAGGAAGAACACCCGUGGCGAAGGCAGCUCACUGGGACGGUACUGACGCUGAGACGCGAAAGCGUGGGGAGCAAACAGG